GACAGAGGGGGCAAGCGUUGCUCGGAAUUACUGGGCGUAAAGGGCUCGUAGGCGGCCAACUAAGUCAGACGUGAAAUCCCUCGGCUUAACCGGGGAACGGCAUCUGAUACUGGAUGGCUGGAGUUCGGGAGAGGGAUGCGGAAUUCCAGGUGUAGCGGUGAAAUGCGUAGAUAUCGGGAGGAACACCAGUGGCGAAGGCGACUUCCUGGCCUGUUCUUGACGCUGAGGCGCGAAAGCUAGGGGAGCAAACGGGG
rnacentral:rRNA from 1 species